GUGAUGUUGAUGGUGACUGAUGCUUUUCUUUGUUUCUUUUCCUGCUUUCAUCCACUGAUGGUGUCGAGCAUCGCCGAGGAUGUGAUCGAAUGCGGAAUAUUCGAAACGAGGAGAUUCAUUCCGGAUUUUGUUUGCAAUAAGCGCUGAACUAAUCCUCCAGCUUACAGGACGGCAAAGGUACACGCACAAACGUGCACACAUCAGCCUUCUCGGAGAACGAGAACACGGGAGGGGGAGACCGGCAACGUAUAGAACCUUUACGCUCCCUCGUGCGUUCGUGCGUGUGUGCGCGCGCGCGUCUAUGUGUGUGUAUGUGUGUGCAUGCCUGCGUGCGUGGCUGUGUGUGUUUUUGCCGCUUCGCAUAACGAGAUCCUACGGGGAUCACCUUGCGAAAAACACCAAGAGAGGAGGAGGGGUAGGUGUGUGUAUGUGUGUGUGUGCUUGCAUGCGUGCGUGGCUGUGUAUGUGUGUGUAUGUGUGCUUGCAUGCGUGCAUGGCUGUGUAUGUGUGUGUUUGUGUGCUUGCAUACGUGCAUGGCUGUGUAUGUGUGUGUAUGUGUGCUUGCAUGCGUGCGUGGCUGUGUAUGUGUGUGUAUGUGUGCUUUUGCUGUUUGGCGAUCUCCUACGGAAUCACCUUGCGAAAACACGUGGGGGGGGGGGGGAGGAGUGAGGUGUGUGUGUGCUUGCCUGCGUGCUUUGUGUGUGUGUUUUUGCGUUCACGUUCUACGGGAUCACUUUGCGAAAAACACCAAGGGGAGGAGGAGGUGUUAGUGUGUGUGUGUGUGUAUGUUUUUUUUUUUUCUUUGCCGAUUCGCACUCUCUCGCGGAUCUAGUUGUGUGCGUUAGUUUUUUUUUAGUUUCUUCGAAAAAUACCUGGGGGAGGAUGUGUGUAUGAAAGAAUGUACUUCAGAAAAGAAAGUGAAAAUAAAAAAAACGAAUAUGAAAUAUGUUAAACGAAGUUUUAAGUGUGUCUGAACUCAUUGCAAUCCGAAAGAAAGCGAGUGGGGCUCUUAAAAUGUAGUACACAUGUAUGCAACAUGUAUCGUGUCGCCGCGACGGUGUAUCUCGCUCAAUCCGUUAAGCCUGAAAAGUGCUUCUAUCGGAUCGUCUAAUCGGGCGCCAUUUAAUCAAUCCGUUAGCGAAAAGUCGCAUGGAUUUUGGUACCGGGGCAGUACAGAACAACAACUGACGUUCUUCAAAUAAGUAAUGCAGCUUCAAAUACAGCUGAAAAAUGAAGGUUAUCAGCAAACAUAAACAGUUUCUUCGUAAAAGUUUUCUACAGUUCUGAAUUUUAUUUUUACAUGCACAAAAGCGACGCGGC